GCUUAAUAUUUUAUUCUAGCUAUGUUUGGAUGGUUUAAAUCAGAACCCUGUCCACCCCCUGAGACUUUUACUGAACAAUGGAGGAAAAUACCAUGGGGCCACAGAGAGAGAGACCUUCAGUAUGUGAGGGAUUAUCAGCCUCAUAAUAAAGA